rnacentral:rRNA from 1 species
AACGCGAAGAACCUUACCAAGGCUUGACAUCCCAUUAAAGCUGUGGAAACGCAGUGUGCAUUUCGGUGCGAAUGGAGACAGGUGGUGCAUGGUUGUCGUCAGCUCGUGUCGUGAGAUGUUGGGUUAAGUCCCGCAACGAGCGCAACCCUUAUCCAUAGUUACCAGCAAGUAAAGUUGGGGACUCUAGGGAGACUGCCGGGGAUAACUCGGAGGAAGGUGGGGACGACGUCAAAUCAUCAUGCCCCUUAUGUCUUGGGCUACACACGUGCUACAAUGGUCGCAACAAAGAGAAGCGAGACUGUAAAGUGGAGCGAAACUCAAAAAAGCGAUCUCAGUUCGGAUUGUGGGCUGCAACCCGCCCACAUGAAGUUGGAGUUGCUAGUAAUCGCGAAUCAGCAUGUCGCGGUGAAUGCGUUCCCGGGUCUUGUACACACCG